CUACGGGGGGCUCCAGGUAAGAAUAAUCUACAAUGCGCGCAAGCGUGAUAGUUUGAGCCAGAGUGCGUCUCAUUAGAGAUACUUUUGUGAAAUGUAAAAAGUUUCACGAAUAAGGACUGGGUAAGACGAGUGCCAGCCGCCGCGGUAAUACUCGCGGUCCAAGUCGCAGCCAUUUUUAUUGGGUCUAAAACAUCCGUAGCUUGCUUGAUAAGUUCCUUGUGAAAUCCUAUCUCUCAAGGGUAGGGCGUGCAAGGAGUACUGUCAAGCUAGAGACCGGAAGACGUAAGAAGUACGUUCGAAGUAGCGGUAAAAUGUUUUAAUCUCGGACGGACUCACAAUAGCGAAGGCAUCUUACGAGGACGGUUCUGACAGUCAGGGAUGAAGGCUAGGGGCGCAAAACGGAUUAGAUACCCCAGUAGUC
rnacentral:rRNA from 1 species